GCGGGUGUAGCUCAGUGGUAGAGCGCAUGCUCAGCAUAUAGGAAGUCCUGGGUUCAAUUCCCAGUACCUCCA
rnacentral:tRNA from 1 species